ensembl:lncRNA PM20D1-AS1 PM20D1 antisense RNA 1
AGGAGGCGGGGCGCCGGGGAAACGCAGUAGGAGGAGUGACGGGAACCGGGAGCCGGCUCCAUGCGCCUGGAGCGCGCGGGUCCCAGCGCCCAUCGGCCCGGGGUCCGAGGGGCCCGCUGCCCGGGCUCGCUGCGUGGUGCUACCGCCCCCGGGCCCGCUGCGCCGCGUCGGAGCCCCAGCAGACUUUGAGAGGCGUGUGCGACAGUGCGCGUCCUCUCCUGCCUCUGGAUGUUUCCUUGGAGCCUCUGGCCUUCGGGAAGACCGUGCCACUGGGUUAGAGUCUCCCCGACCAAGCUGGUCUCAGCAAGUGGUCUCCAUCAUGGGGGCUCGAAUCCAGGUUGAAGGGUCACCAGAGUGAUGGUUGGAGAACAUGGAACUAGCUGGAGGACACCUGAGUACUCUUAAAGCAAACCCCGUGUUAAUUGAAAAUGCUCAGUUACGAUUUCAUACAGAUGAACAACUGAAGACAAAAACAACAAAGGGGGAGAAAGAGGGAUUAUGGGACAGCCCAUAUACAAUUGAAUCUAGCAUUAUUAACUUUAAAUUUUUUGAGUCUGCCUAAAGGCCAGAUGUUAUCAGCAGCUGAACAGCAUUUACAGAAACCGGCUGCAAAGACAGAAGCAGAACAACUGGUUUGGUGGAGAGAUCCGAUAACAAAAAGUUGGGAAAUAGGUAAAAUAAUAACUUGGGGUAGAGGUUAUGUUUGUGUUUCUCCAGGCCAAAAUCAAUAACCAAUUUGGAUACCAUCAAGACACCUGAAACCUUAUCAUGAGCCAGAUGCUGAGGAAGAGAUUCCAGGAGGAUCCUGAGGACCCCCUGGUUGCAGCCACGUCGAGGCUGACACUGAGGAGGACCCCAACUGUCAUGAGCAACACCCGUCGAACACAGCCAUCCACCUGGGGACAAAUCAAGAAGCUGUCACAGAUGAUGGAAGAAAACCUGAGGAAAGCGGGACAACCAAUCACAAUGAGUAAUUUGGUGAUCUAUCACAGUGAUGAUCACCAUUGCCAUGAGUAUUCCUUCAACAAGGGCUGACACAGAGAACAAUUAUACUUAUUGGGCAUAUUUAUCAAUCUUGUCUGGCAAUAAUGCCUAGAUGAUUUCACUCUAUGGCACAGUUACACAUGCUUUCUGAUCUCAGUAUUUACCAUAAUAAAUCUGCUCCUAUAAUUGAGGCAUACCACCCUCAAAAACCUAUUUGUAAACAAAAUAGAACCUGGCCAGAAAUAAUGAACAACUUGUUUAGUAAGAUUGCAUUGCAGAACAGGCAGAGAUGCUACGCAAUGAUUCCUAUGGGAUCAUUGAUUGGUCCCCUAAGGGGAUGUUUAGCUUAAAUUGCACCUCUCAGUCUGCAUGCCAUGGCCACACUAGUUCAGAUGGUCUGAACAAAGUGGUCAGAUGGCAGAAAUGAUAAGAAGUAUGGCAAAAGUUCCUAUUGUCUGGAACCAUGGCAGUAUAGUGUCACCUCAACCUCAAAUGAUAUGGCUCAUUGUAGGAGCUAAACAUAAGGAUUUGUGGAAACUAUUAAUAGCUCUUAAUAAGAUCAAAAUUUGGGAAAGAAUAAAAAAAGCAUCUAGAAAGACACUCUACAAACUUGUCUUUGGAUAUUACAAAAUUAAAAGAACAAAUAUUUAAAGCAUCCCAGGUACACCUGACCUUAAUGACAGAAACUGGAGUGCUUGAAGGAGCUGCAGACAGAUUAGCAGCUAGUAACCCAUUAAAAUGGAUAAAAACACUUGGAAGCUCUGUGAUUUCAAUGAUGAUUGUGCUUUUAAUCGGUAUUGUUUGUCUUUGUAUAGUGUGCAGAUGUGGAUCCUGACUCCUGUGAGAAGUAGCUCACAGUGUCAAAGCUGCCUUUGCUUUUAUCGAUUUGCAAAUCAAAUAAGGGGGACAUAUUGGGAACAGCACCCCCCCCCCCAAAAUCUGGCCAUAAACUGGUCCCAAAACUGGCCAUAAACAAAAUCUCUGCAGCACUGACAUGUUCAUGAUGGUCUUAAUGCCCACGCUGGAAGGUUGUGGGUUUACCAGAAUGAGAGCAAGGAACACCUGGCCCACCCAGGGUGGAAAACCACUUAAAGGCAUUCUUAAACCACAAACAAUAGCAUGAGUGAUCUGUGCCUUAAGGCUGUGCUACUGCUGCAGAUAACUAGCCCAACCCAUCCCUUUAUUUCAGCCCAUCCCUUCGUUUCCCAUAAGGGAUACUUUUAAUUAAUCUAAUAUGUAUAGAAAGAAUGCUAAUGACUGGCUUGCUGUUAAUAAAUAACGUGGGUAAAUCUCUGUUGGAGGCUCUCAGCUCUGAAGGCUGUGAGACCCCGGAUUUCCCACUUCAC